rnacentral:rRNA from 1 species
UAGUGAAUAUUGGGCAAUGGGCGGAAGCCUGACCCAGCCACGCCGCGUGCAGGAAGACGGCCCUCUGGGUUGUAACCUGCUUUUGAUUGGGAAGAAAGCAGCUCAUGCGUGAGAAUUUGACGGUACCAAUCGAAUAAGCCACGGCUAACUACGUGCCAGCAGCCGCGGUAAUACGUAGGUGGCGAGCGUUAUUCGGAUUUAUUGGGUUUAAAGGGAGCGUAGGCGGCUGAUUAAGUCAGCGGUGAAAGGUAGCAGCUUAACUGUUUUACAUGCCGUUGAUACUGGUUAGCUUGAGUUGUCAGAAGGCAGAUAGAAUUCCUGAUGUAGCGGUGAAAUGCUUAGUUACCAGGGGGAGUACGGAUUGAGAUGGCAGUAUGAUGCAGUCACACUAACUCGGAGGCUCGAAGGUUCGUGAAUCAAACA